rnacentral:lncRNA from 1 species
CACAAUCAGAAGGCAGAAGAGAGGGAAGGUAGCAGAAAGGAAGGUAAAAGGAGAGUCCAGAGGGGUAAGUCAUCCUGCAAUAAAGAUGGAAGGGAAGAGAGGAGAAAGAAGCAUGAGUGUGGGAAGAUUUCUGUUACCACUCACCAAGUGCACAUGGGGGGUGGAUGUGAACCACAGGCCCUGGGCCAUUCACACCAGGAAAUGAAGCACACACUCAGACAUGGAUGUGAUGACCACCCAGGGGAGAAGUCACCCAGGAUACACACAGCUCACCUCACCCAGCCUCACAACUUCUCUUUCAGACACCAAAACUUGGAAGCAAAGUUUCCUCCUGCCUCAGCCUCCAAAGUGCUGGGAUCACAGCAGUGUGCUACCAUGACCAACUAGCCCUUGUUCUAACUUCAUCAGAAACCCAACAGAACCUG